GGUUCGGUAGCAUAGCGCUAGAGCUUUAUGCUUACCACACGGUGAUUAUGAGUUCGAUCCUCAUCCGAGCCA
rnacentral:tRNA from 1 species